GAGGAAGGAGGUGCCAUGGGCGCUCUCUCGCGAGAGGGCCGCAGAGCCGCCUUUGACGGGGGCGUGUGCCUGGAGAGCGACGGAGGGACUCUGAAGAUUUAAGGACGAAGAGCAGUUGAAAACUGAAAGCUGUGGUUAAUGGGAGAAUUUCAAGGAUGGUGAAAAAAACUCAGCAUCAUUACACCCCUGUUCUUUUUUGUAUUGUGGACUUUUUAGUUUAGAUCUUGGUAAGCUACAUCACAAAUUCUUUAUGCAGAAAUUCUUUAUGCUAACUCUAACACACUUUUUGGGAUAUUGCUAAUUUAAUCUUUGAAUACUGUUUUUGCUAUUUCAUGAUUAUAUGUUAUGUCCUACCAGCUAGAUUGCCAACUCUUGACUACGGACUGGAAGUUUAUUGUUUAUUCAGCAAAUAAUGAAUUAAGUCAGUGAAGUGAGAGAUUUCGUAUGUAACGAUUGUUAACUUGAACAUUUCACCAAUUACACACAGUUCAGCCCCACUUAAAUUUUAAAAAACAUUGUUGGCCCUUGAUAUCGUUAUGAGGAAUUUUGUAUUUUCAGCUUGUAUUUUGAGAGUGUCCUCAUGUGACUGAAAUAUGUGCUACUCUUCUUAAUUGAAUAACCCCAGAAUCUCCAGAAUUGAUAAUUGGAGGAGAUUCUGCUGUUGGGAAAAAUGGAUGGAUUAUGCAGCCCAGUUUUUUGGCAGUUCAUUUUGUCCUUGGAGUCACUACCACUUGGCCUCAAAGUGUGAACAUGUAACCCUUUCCUGAAUACUUCGCUACACAGCUGAGCAGAAACUGUAAAUUUGGAUCCUUUGUCAGUACAACUUAAAAUGGAACAAUUUCAAUGGCUUAGGGUAAGAUAAGUAUGUAAAGAUACUUUUGUAAUAGAAGAAAAAACAUCGUUUAUUAAAAUCACACAGUAGUA